GUAAGCUCCACUCACCACAUCUCCCACUCUUGCGUUGUUCUGAACACAACUCUGAUCCCAUUUGUUUGUUUGGACGUGUGAGUGAGUUCGCGCGUACGUACUGUCGUGGUCAUAUUUAUGGGUACAUGCGCGAGCUUGAAUGAGUGAGUGCGUGUGUACAUGCGUGUGUUCGUGGCGGUGGUGGCGUUGGUGGUGGAGGCAUGUGCGUGUAGGUGUUGCUUUGGGGUCCGCGGGUCGCACAUGGUGGCUGGCGAGGAGCUCAGUGGCCGCUCAGCCCUUCCCUUGCUAGGCUGUCCUGCCCGGCGCUCGCUGCCUCCCACACUCACACACGGACACUCCCAGCCUCCCUCGACCUGACACUCCCUCCCUCACUCCGUCCGUGGCGCCCCUUCCUCCCACACCCUUCGUGCUCUCCGUGGCCGCUGCAGGAGUUAGAAGUUGCCGAUCAGUGCUAAUUGUCAUCGUGGACUUGUGUUGCUUCUGUAGUGGUAGUAAUCCAGGAGGAGCAAGAAGGCCACUAGCAGCAGCAGCAGCAGCAGCAGCAGCAGCCUGUUGCUUACCUGAGACCUCUAGGAAGUUUCUCUUUAGCCUCGCCAAGCUCAAGAGUUCCUGCCUUGUCUGUCUGUCUCCUGUAUGUGUGCUCCAACACCUGUGCUCUUACUGAUGACGAUAGCAGCCGUGAUGAUACUGGUAAUGGGGAGGCAGACGAUACUUCCUCCUCCUCUCCCUUCAUCAUCAUCACCAUCUUUACCUUUGUCAUCUAGUUCAAAAUCUGCGCCCGUUCAACACCUCUUCUGCUUUUAGAUGUGACGUGGGAAGAUACGAGGUAGUAAAGAGAUAGAUAGAGUGUGGAGAGAGGAGGAAAGGGAAGUAAGUGAUAAAUGGAGAUGGUAAAAGGAAAGGGAGUGAGGGAGGUGAAAUAAGGAAAGAAUAAAAGAGAGUGAGGAAAGUAAAAAGAAAAAAAGGGGAAGAAUUUAAAGGGUGAUAAGUGCAGAGGGAUUUGUUGCAUAAUGAUAAAAGAAAA